rnacentral:rRNA from 1 species
AUGGAGCUCCUUGUGCUCCUUGCCCUUGUUUUCUUGGGCUUAUCCGUACUGAUCCGGCGGCGUGGCUGCCACACUGGUGUUAGGCGUGCCGGCGCCCUAGCUCCAGCUGCAUUGGUUAUCCAGAACAUCGUCGACCCUGCCGCUGCCCAGUGCAUGCUCAUCGAGAACGCCGACCACUUCUCGAACCGCCCAGCUCCGCCCUUCCUGGUGGCGCUGGAAAAGAGCAACGGCGGCCAACGAGGCGACGGCCUAACCUCUGUGCCCUAUGGCCCGCUCUGGAGUGCUCUCCGGCGCAACCUGAUGGCUGAGGCGCUUCAUCCGUCCCGCCUCGGGCACAUCGCCCCGCUGCAGCGGGAAGCCACCCAGGGCCUUAUUGCGGCACUCGGGAAGGAACUACCGGUGGUGUCCGUCCGCGAGCACCUCUCUGCCGCCGUCUUCUCGGUCGUCGCGCGCCUGUGUUUCGGCGACGACAUCGAUGAGGGCUAUCUACGCGCCAUGCGCUGCGGGAUACGAGACAUCCAGCUCAUCGCUGUUGUGGAGGCCAAACCGUCGUCUGGCUCCAUGAUGGCCAAGCUCACGGGGGAUGACGAGUUGGUGCUCCUCGUGCUGGAGUUCCGGGGCGCCGGCGCUGGGACGGUCGCAGCAUGCCUGGAAUGGACCCUCCCCCACGUUGUAAACGACCAGGAGGUCCAGGAAAAGCUGAGUGACGAGGUCCAAAGCGCUGGCGGCACUGUGGUCUCCAGCUCCAGAAGCCUCAUCCAUGGCAUGCCGUAUCUGAACGCUGUGGUGCUCGAGAGCCUCCGCAUGCACCCAACGGUGCCCUUCAUCCAGCGCCACGUCCAUGCCGACGCCGCCGGGUUUCUCGGAGUCGGAGGAACAACCAGCGACUUGCUCAUGCAGGUCUCCGUGGGAGCCAUCGGGCGGUACACCAAGACAUGGACGGAUCCCGACGAGUUCCGACCUGAGCGGUUCCUGCCGGGCGGCGAGGCAGAGGAUGUGGGGCCUUUGCCGGGUCCCAAGGAGAUCAGGAUGGUGCCGUUCGGCACCGGGCAUAGGUUCUGCCCUGGCGUGGGUCUGGCCAUGAUGAACAUCAAGUGUUUCUUGGCUGCGCUCGUGCACGAGUUCCACUGGAAGCCACCCACGGUGGGUUGUGCUGGCGUCGACGUGACUGAGCUCAACACCUUCGUCAAGGGGAUGAAGACGCCGCUUUCCGUGCGUCUCACGCGACGCACUUUAUCCUCUUGA